UACGAGGGGGGCGAGCGUUGUUCGGAAUUAUUGGGCGUAAAGGGCGCGUAGGCGGUGUGGCAAGUCAGGUGUGAAACCUCCAGGCUUAACUUGGAGCUUGCAUCUGAAACUGCCGUGCUAGAGUGCGGGAGAGGAGAGUGGAAUUCCGUGGUGAUAGCGGUGAAAGUGACGUAGAUAUCGAGGAGGAACACCGGUGGCGAAGGCG
rnacentral:rRNA from 1 species